UACAGAGGUCCCGAGCGUUGUUCGGAUUCAUUGGGCGUAAAGGGUGCGUAGGCGGCGGGGCCAGUCUGAUGUGAAAGUCCCGGGGCUCAACCCCGGAACUGCAUUGGAUACUGCCUUGCUAGAGUACUGGAGAGGGAACUGGAAUUUACGGUGUAGCAGUGAAAUGCGUAGAGAUCGUAAGGAAGGCCGGUGGCGAAGGCGAGUUCCUGGACAGUUACUGACGCUGAGGCACGAAGGCCAGGGGAGCAAACGGG
rnacentral:rRNA from 1 species